ensembl:lncRNA
GAAAGAAAGAGAGAAGGAGAGAAUUAGAGAACGCACACUUAGAUUCACACAGGACACCGAAUAGGACAGGAGAAGUACUCCAUAUAUAACAAACUGUCCAUCAUAAAACAGAUGGACAAGGUGUCUUAGAAACAUCUACCAUUAAAGGCUUAAGAUAUUAGAAAUGCCUCAACACAAUGUUGACGUAAAGACCUCUUGUCAACUAAUAUCAACACUUCUAUUUCGCUUUGGAUCAUUUUCUGCCUGUUGUAAGUUUGAGACUUUGCCUUGUGCUUUGAAAUUCCGUUACCAAAUACCCAGGUAUCUUCCAGGUAUUUUCUCUCCCUCAUGAGGGAGGAUGAUGAAAGGUUACAGAAGUAACCAGUGAAUGUAGACCUAUCAAUUAGUUAGUGUUUUUAAAGAUAUCACAUUUUGUUAUUGUGUGAUUUAAAACUUGAUAUUCCGUUACCAAAUCAGUACAUGGAAUUUCUGCAAUUGAAUUUGGUAAUUAUGGUAGUCACAAAACAGUUUGGUUCACACAUUUGGACAGUACAGCAGAGUAGAGUCCGGUAAAUAUAAGUGCUAUAGUUCAGAUCUGGUCUUGUUUGGGGGCAGAGCUCAUUUUAAGAUAAGUCAGUGUGUAGAAUAACAGUGCAUAUUUCUACCUUUUUAGGAUACAUCACCGUGAAGAGAAUGACAUUCGGAUCCAUAAUUGUGUAGUUAAGAUCAGGGAUCCAUGAUGUAAUUCUGUUACCGGGUUUGUUCUGUUCUGGUUUGGCAUACAUUUUAAAUGAGAAAUCUGGGUCUCAGUGCAAUUCCAUCUCUAUGGAAUUGCCCAUAGAACAUUAAUGUUGUCCUACCCAAAACUCUGCAGAUAUCUGUUUAUCAGUGUAUCUUAUCUGGUACUUGACUGUAGAUAUCUCUACAUAUCAGCUGGUUAUCUGUUGUCCUAGGGCACGGUUUUGUUUUACAGCUGACGACACACUACUAUGAUGUUGAGCUGUGGGCUAGUUGCAGACAGUGUCAUUAAGUAUCAGGCUGGUUAUCCGAGUAUGGAGUGGUCUGAGGUUUGGCUGUUUCUAUUGGUCAUGAGAUGUCUGUUUUUGUGGAGAGAAGACCCACCAUCCUCUGACUCCUCUUUCUGUCUGUCUCUCUCCCUCUCUCUGUGAGGCUAAAGAUGAUGGACAUUAAAGAUGACCUCUUUUCUCCCCCAGACAGACCAGACAAAUAGAAGGGUUUGGUGAUUGUGUCUGCUCUGGGAGAUUUGUUCUCGUCUGUCUGGAGUUGACAAAAACACAUUUGUAAGAAGGAUGAACACAACACUGUCACCCCCCCGACUGAUACAAGUAAUGACAGAUUUGUUCAUGUCUCUUCUCUUCCCCACUCUCUCUCCUCUCUCCAUUUCUCUCUCCCUCUGUAGAUGACAGCCAGUUUGAGAUGGACAUCUGAGCAGCAGCGCAUUGCCUCCUGUGGAGAGAACUGUUUUAUCUUCUAUUCUGACGUCUGAUUGGUCCUUUACAACCAGCAUGCGUCACAUUCACCUUCUUCAACUUCCUUUUUUAAAACCUUUUUGUUGUUGAGGAAACCCCCCAAAAUAAAGAGAAUGGGGACAUGUCGAUCCCUGUGUUAGUAUUAUUUUUAGCACCAGUAUGCGUCAAUGGUUGCAGAUUAGUGUCUGAGCUGCAGGGUUGGAAGAACCAAUACAUUUGUUUGGACUGUUUUUGGUUUGUACAUAAGAGUACAGUACUUUGUAUUUUUUAAAAGGAGAGAGAUGUACGAGAUUUUACAUGAAACAUACAGGGACGGAGGGGUUGGUCAAGACGUCUGACCCUGGCAUAAGGUUAAAGGUCAGAGGUUGGGGUGACUGUUGGACAGGCUCUUCCAUGCAUCUACCUGUGGAGGAGGAACUGAAAUGUAUCAAAGUUCAAAAUAAAAAUCAGUAUAAAACCUAAA